rnacentral:rRNA from 1 species
GAUGAACGCUGGCGGCGUGCCUAAUACAUGCAAGUCGAGCGAACGGACGAGAAGCUUGCUUUUCUGAUGUUAGCGGCGGACGGGUGAGUAACACGUGGAUAACCUACCUAUAAGACUGGGAUAACUUCGGGAAACCGGAGCUAAUACCGGAUAAUAUUUUGAACCGCAUGGUUCAAAAGUGAAAGACGGUCUUGCUGUCACUUAUAGAUGGAUCCGCGCUGCAUUAGCUAGUUGGUAAGGUAACGGCUUACCAAGGCAACGAUGCAAAGCCGACCUGAGAGGGUGAUCGGCCACACUGGAACUGAGACACGGUCCAGACUCCUACGGGAGGCAGCAGUAGGGAAUCUUCCGCAAUGGGCGAAAGCCUGACGGAGCAACGCCGCGUGAGUGAUGAAGGUCUUCGGAUCGUAAAACUCUGUUAUUAGGGAAGAACAUAUGUGUAAGUAACUGUGCACAUCUUGACGGUACCUAAUCAGAAAGCCACGGCUAACUACGUG